CGGACGGGUGAGUAAUGUAUGGGGAUCUGCCUGAUGGCGGGGGAUAACUACUGGAAACGGUAGCUAAUACCGCAUAAUGUCUGCGGACCAAAGCGGGGGACCUCCGGGCCUCGCGCCAUCAGAUGAACCCAUAUGGGAUUAGCUAGUAGGUAAGGUAACGGCUUACCUAGGCGACGAUCCCUAGCUGGUCUGGGAGGAUGACCAGCCACACUGGAACUGAGACACGGUCCAG
rnacentral:rRNA from 1 species